CCAAAGGCCUUGGUGGAAACCUUGGCAAAGAAACUCUAUCUCAUAUCUUCAUCGUAGUCUGGUCUGAGGCCCCUGAUCAGUCUGUCCCAGGCAGCAGGAAAUGACAUCUAUUCUCUGCUUUGCUGGCCUGGGGUGCUGCAGAUGAGGGUACAGAACUUGUGCCUGGCCAUGAGUAGCCUGGGUGGAAGAGCCAUGCUGGGUAGCCUGAUAAGUCAUUGCUUACUCCAGGUCUGGGUUGCUGGGGACAGGCAGGUGGCUGCCUUCCCACCCUCUGGUGGCCUAGUGACAUUUCCUGGAGAAUCAGGAGUGGCAUGGGUGGAACUACAGAUGCCAGGACCAUGAGACACACUCUGCUCUGCCUCUAUCAACCGGUUCUCUAGUCUGCCUUCCUCCCAGCCCCAGGAUUUUGUGGCCAGGCAGUAGGGCAGGGGUGUCUUCCACUUCAUGUGUCCAUAUUGUUGUGGUGACAAAAUGUGGAAGCAGGUAGUUGGCUGGGGAAGAAUCCUCCAGGCAAGCAGAGAGCAGGGCCUGCAGAGUGAAAUAGAGGUGACCCAGGCUACCCCAGCUUGCUUCAUCUCUCCUUCUUGCCCAUGGCUUCCUGAGUGGCCCUAUAUCUGUAGUUCCCUCUUUUCUCCUGAGCCUCCUAUGCCCUUUCCUGCCAUUCUCCCUCCACCAGGAUGUGCCCAACUGGAAGAACUCUGCCACUUGACCCCCCGGGUUGAUGAUCUCACCCUAAGCCCAGGAGGCAGCUGGAGGUGAGUUGUCCGGCCUUCCUGGAGGCUGGCCCAAGAAGGUGCCAAGUACAGACCUCUUUCUUCUGGCCUGGAAUCGAGGCCAGAAGAUCCUGGGAGCCCUCUGCCAGGAUGGAAUCAGCUUAUGCUUUUGAAUAAAGGGCCGCCCUUUCCCUCCCAGAGCUGGGCUCGAUUGGGCAAGGAGAUAAGCUGAGUUGGCAGCCAUCCUGGCAGGGCUCUGAAUCACUGUUGUGCAAACACAGCCCCUCCUUAAACGCUGCCUGCCAAUGCCCUCAUCUGUCGUGCAACCAUCCUUAGCCUAGGCUACCCACAACAAAGCACCCCAGGAAAGUCACCUGCCAAGAAGAGCAGCAGCCAGUGUGGAUGUCAGCCGGAACAGAAACUCUGAUGGUGCCGGCCUGUGGUCCCCACUGCCUGCAUCCUAUGCCAACACCUGUCAUUGGUGUGAUAUACCUAGGAGAGGCUGGGGCAGGAUGCAGAAUGGAGACUCGGGUGCCCUCAUCAGGACAGUGCGCACUUUCUUCACUCAUGCAGGAUUACCAUUCGGGAUCAUGGCCCAACAGUGAGCCUGGGUGUCUGGGUCAGAUGUGACCAGAAGGGAGAGAAAAGGGAGCCCAAGAUCAGGACUAUUGUUGGGCACAGUUGAGGCGGAACACUCCAUCACUCCAGCAACGCGGCGGAGGCAGAAGUCAGUGAAUCAUACAGAAUCACACAGAAGGCUCAGAGUUCUGAAUGGGCGGCUGGUUCAGGGAACAGUAGUCCUGCAGUGACCAGCUCACUUCUGAAAGGACACCCUCUGAGGAGCACAGCCAUUGUGGAGAUGGCCUGCUGUCCCAGGACACAAGGAAUAAGUUCAUGAAAGGCCCUAGGGAGGGUGUUGAUACACUUGGGC